rnacentral:rRNA from 1 species
AUUGAACGCUGGCGGCAGGCCUAACACAUGCAAGUCGAACGAGUGGCGGACGGGUGAGUAAUGUCUGGGAAACUGCCUGAUGGAGGGGGAUAACUACUGGAAACGGUAGCUAAUACCGCAUACCAUCGGAUGUGCCCAGAUGGGAUUGGCUAGUAGGUGGGGUAACGGCUCACCUAGGCGGCGCUCCCUAUCUGGUCUGAGAGGAUGACUAGCCACACAGGAACUUAGCCACGUUCCAGACGCCUACGGGAGGCCGCAGUGGGGAAUAUUGCACAAUGGGCGCAAGCCGGAUGCAGCCCUGCCGCGUGUAUGAAGAAGGCCUUCGGGUUGUAAAGUACUUUCAGCGGGGAGGCGUUACCCGCAGAAGAAGCACCGGCUAACUCCGUGCCAGCAGCCGCGGUAAUAC